rnacentral:rRNA from 1 species
UUCGAUGCAACGCGAAGAACCUUACCUGGUCUUGACAUCCCGGAGACCCUUAGGAAACUAGGGGGUGGCUUCCAUCUGGAAGAAUCUGGAGACAGGUGCUGCAUGGCUGUCGUCAGCUCGUGUCGUGAGAUGUUGGGUUAAGUCCCGCAACGAGCGCAACCCUUGCCUUUAGUUGCCAGCAGUUCGGCUGGGCACUCUAAAGGGACUGCCGGUGUUAAACCGGAGGAAGGUGGGGAUGACGUCAAGUCCUCAUGGCCUUUAUGACCAGGGCUACACACGUACUACAAUGGCCGAUACAAAGGGCAGCGACACUGCGAGGUGAAGCCAAUCCCGUAAAAUCGGUCUCAGUCCGGAUUGGAGUCUGCAACUCGACUCCAUGAAGUUGGAAUCGCUAGUAAUCGUGGAUCAGCAUGCCACGGUGAAUACGUUCCCGGGCCUU